rnacentral:rRNA from 1 species
UACGUAGGGGGCAAGCGUUGUCCGGAUUUAUUGGGCGUAAAGAGCGUGUAGGCGGUUUGGUAGGUCCGUUGUGAAAACUCGAGGCUCAACCUCGAGACGCCGAUGGAAACCAUCAGACUAGAGUCCGGAAGAGGAGAGUGGAAUUCCUGGUGUAGCGGUGAAAUGCGCAGAUAUCAGGAGGAACACCCGUGGCUAAGGCGGCUCUCUAGUACGGUACUGACGCUGAGACGCGAAAGCGUGGGGAGCGAACAGG